CUUUCAAACAGAUGCUUAGAGGCCUGCUCCUGCGACGAGGAGUACAUACAGCGAGGUGUAUAGAUCCUAGGAAAAAUUGUCAUUUGGGAUUUAAAGUACAUCUUUAGCAAGUGCAGCAUCCUCAUGGGAACAACUGCCUCCCGCAUCCUGUAAGCUGAACACAAAAAAGCAUUAGAAUCAGAAAAGUAAUUAUUACUACUCAGUCUUCCCGUCAGUUGCCCUUCCUUCUAGGAGGAGUCUCGCAGGGACAUUGUGUUGAACUCCUGGUGGUGAUCUUCUAUUUGCAUGUCCAGCUGCGAAUGGUCGUGUGCCUGCUCGAAUUGGGGUGGCCCUGAGCGGUGUUGAUUCAUCCAAAAGUUCAAAUGCGUAUAUGAUACUGCAAGAUAGAUUUGGGUUUGCCGAUUUUUACUGUGGAAAGAUUAAACGAAUUUAAUAAGACACUAUCUGAAAAUCUUGCUGCUCGAUUGCAUUAUGUAAGUAUUAUUUACUACUAAAACUUUAUU